rnacentral:rRNA from 1 species
UACGGAGGGUGCAAACGUUAUCCGGAUUCACUGGGUUUAAAGGGUGCGUAGGAGGGCAGGUAAGUCGGUGGUGAAAUCCCCGAGCUUAACUUGGGAACUGCCGUUGAUACUAUCUGUCUUGAAUAUUGUGGAGGUGAGCGGAAUAUGUCAUGUAGCGGUGAAAUGCUUAGAUAUGACAUAGAACACCAAUUGCGAAGGCAGCUCGCUACACAUAUAUUGACUCUGAGGCACGAAAGCGUGGGGAUCAAACAGG